rnacentral:lncRNA from 1 species
AAAAAAAAAAAAAAAAAAAAAGCUUUUAAACUUGGAAAAAGUAAUUUGCAUCAGUAUAUAGCAAAGAACCAAUGACCAAAUGCAGGAGAGUACAACAGAGAUUAUUAAGACUUCACACAUGGUCCUUUAAAUAAUUAGAAAAUCAUUAACAUGCUUAGCUUGGCAAUUCAGAUAACAGUAAUUACUUUAGCCAGUACCCAUCCCAAAAGGUACAGGAUAUUUUGGACAUUCUUUCACUUGCUCAUUCAAAAAUAUUUCCUGGUGUCCUGGGUUGAGAAGCAGGCUUGGGGAGGGAGAUUAAUGUCCAUGAUGUUUGUGAAGGCAGGCUCCUGGGAUCGCACUUGUAGAUGGAAAACGAAGGAGGAGGAUUGUGGAGAGAGAGAGGAGAUGGUUCCUAUACAGCCUCGGUUGACUCACAGAGAGCGCUGAAGCUAGCCUGGCCUCUCAGCUGUUGUCCAUUCUUGGGGUAAUGAAGCAGGGCUUUUAUCCUCUGCCUCCAUCCAGUCACUGGAUGUGGGCUACUCCCAGAAAGGGAGUAACCUUAGGUGAGGCAGCGCUGAAGAGGCCUGACAGCUGAGGCUUGUCUACUGACAACACUCCCAGCAGCUGAGGGGGAUAAGACCUCCAGGCUCAAGGGUGAGCUCUACGGCCCAACACAGCGUCCACCACACUGACGCAAUAUGAUGCCGACAAAAUAAACAGGCUUUUCGAUCUUCUGUAACUUGAAGGUGAGACGGGAAAGUGGGCUGGAGUUGAGCAGAGUUCAGAGUUCUCCUAGCUAGGAACUGUCACAGCCACCUCAACCUUCAGCAACCACCACUGUUCAAGGCAACAUCCUUCAGCAGCAGAAAGAUUGACUCGCUGUAGGCUCAGACAUGGGGCCUCACUAUGUUUCACAGGCUGGUCUAAAAC